UAGUACCUGUGAAGAUGCAGGUUACCCGCGACUAGACGGAAAGACCCCAUGGAGCUUCACUGCAGGUUGAUAUUGGGAUUUGAUGCAGCAUGUACAGGAUAGGUAGGAGGCAAAGAGAUGGAUACGCCAGUAUUCAAGGAGCCGCUGUUGGGAUACUACCCCUGUUGUAUUGGAUUUCUAACCGGACGACGUAGAGCCGUUGACGGGACAGUGUCAGUCGGGCAGUUUGACUGGGGCGGUCGCCUCCCAAAGAGUAACGGAGGCGCCCAAAGAUACCCUCAGCUUGGAUGGAAACCAAGCGCAGAGUGCAAAGGCAAAAGGGUGUUUGACUGCGAGACCACAAGUCGAGCAGGGACGAAAGUCGGGCUUAGUGAUCCGGCGGUGCUGAAUGGAAAGGCCGUCGCUCAACGGAUAAAAGCUACCCUGGGGAUAACAGGCUGAUCUCCCCCAAGAGUUCACAUCGACGGGGAGGUUUGGCACCUCGAUGUCGGCUCAUCGCAUCCUGGAGCUGAAGUCGGUUCCAAGGGUUGGGCUGUUCGCCCAUUAAAGCGGUACGCGAGCUGGGUUCAGAACGUCGUGAGACAGUUCGGUCCCUAUCUGUCGUGGGCGCAGGAAAUUUGAGAAGAGCUGUCCUCAGUACGAGAGGACCGGGAUGGACGCAUCAAUGGUGGACCAGUUGUCACGCCAGUGGCAUAGCUGGGUAGCUAAAUGCGGAAGGGAUAAACGCUGAAGGCAUCUAAGUGUGAAACCCACUUCAAGAUGAGAUUUCCCAUUGCGCAAGCAAGUAAGACCCCUUAAA
rnacentral:rRNA from 1 species